CCCUUAGAUGUUCUGAACCGCACGCGUGUUACACUGAUGCAUUCAACGAGCUUUACCUUGGCCGAGAGGCCUGGGAAAUCUUUUUAGCAUGCAUCGUGAUAGGGAUUGAUUAUUGCAAUUAUUAAUCAUGAACGAGGAAUUCCUAGUAAACGCAUUUCAUCAAAAUGCAUUGAUUACGUCCCUGCCCUUUGUACACACCGCCCGUCGCACCUACCGAUUGAGUGGUCCGGUGAAGUCUCGAGAUUGUGGCAAUCUCCUUUAUUGGAGUUUGACUGCGAGAACUUGCCUAAACCUUAUCACUUAGAGGAAGGUGAAGUCGUANCA
rnacentral:rRNA from 1 species